rnacentral:rRNA from 1 species
AGUGAACGCUGGCGGUAGGCCUAACACAUGCAAGUCGAACGGCAGCACAGGAGAGCUUGCUCUCUGGGUGGCGAGUGGCGGACGGGUGAGGAAUACAUCGGAAUCUACUCUGUCGUGGGGGAUAACGUAGGGAAACUUACGCUAAUACCGCAUACGACCUACGGGUGAAAGCAGGGGACCUUCGGGCCUUGCGCGAUUGAAUGAGCCGAUGUCGGAUUAGCUAGUUGGCGGGGUAACGGCCCACCAAGGCGACGAUCCGUAGCGGGUCUGAGAGGAUGAUCAGCCACCCGGGAACUGGGACACGGUCCAGACUCCUACGGGAGGCAGCAGUGGGGAAUAUUGGACAAUGGGCGCAAGCCUGAUCCAGCCAGACCGCGUGGGUGAAGAAGGCCUUCGGGUUGUAAAGCCCUUUUGUUGGGAAAGAAAUCCAGCUGGCUAAUACCCGGUUGGGAUGACGGUACCCAAAGAAUAAGCACCGGCUAACUUCGUGCCAGCAGCCGCCGUAA